AAACUUUACUAACUCUAUUCAUUCAUUUUUAAUGACACUCAAGUUUAUGAUUUAUCCACAGAAGCAGCACUGUCUAUAUCUGUCUCUGUCAGUCUUUAUGUGUCUGUAUUUGUUAGUAGCUCUCUGUGUCUGUACCUGUCUUUAUUUUUGUCCUUAUCUGUUUGUUUCUGUUUGUAUCCCUCUAUAAAUGUCUACAUCUGUUUUGAUCGGUCUCUUUCUGUUUUUAUCUGUCUGUGUCUAUUUGUAUUUCUGUCUGUAUCUGUAUGUCUGCAUCUGUCCGUAUCUUGUCUGUCAUCCAUCCCUCAGUUCUCUUGGUGCCCCCCUCUAACAGUCCCCUACACACAAACAGGUUUCAGGGGUACUGAGAGUCCAUCUGCUGACCUGCAUGUCUCUCUGCUGGUCUCAGUAUUUCUGAUCUGCUCUCAGGUUGCUGGUCUCUGUGUUUCUGCUCUUCUCUCAGGCUGCUGGUCUCGGUGUUCCUGGUUUGCUCUCAGGCUGCUGGUUUUGGUGACAGGUGAUGGAUGGAGGCUUUUCUAACCCUGUAAGUGCUCUAAAAACUCAUUCAGGCUUUCAUCACCAAACACGUCUGUAAGGGGAUGUGCUAAUAGCCCCUCUUCUAUCAAGUUAUUUGUAUGUCUAAAUAAUUUCAGAAAUUAAACUAUUAAUCAUGGGGAGGGGGCGGCUGACACCAAGCAUGCUGAGCUGCUCCUAAAUGCACAGUGAGGUGUUUAUGGUCAGCUCCGUCAAACUGCUCUAAUUGCUUAAUUGCUCGUCUGUUGGUGGCUGUUAAAAGUUCCCGUCUGCGCAGAAUUUCAGCCGAAUUAUCCAAAGUAAAACCAAAUGUGUGCUUUGAGGUUUUAAUAAAGAUAUGAGAGUGUUUGUAGGUUUUUCUUUGUAGGGCUCCAGGUGGAGGUGCUCACCUUCAGAGGAGAAAUGUGUCAAAGAAAAGCGGCUCUCUGUCUGAUCCUGGUCUGAUCUCAGCAGAGAGAGGAGCUGAGUGGAAAAAGGAGAGAUGUUCACCCGUGGAGGUGAGCGGAGGUGUUGCUGCUUCACGCUCCGGCAGCUCUGUGAGGCGUUCACGGCCGCAGCGAUCCCACAGUCUCUUUGUUAUUACGCAGGUCCAAGUCCAACACAAAGAGAUCCAGUGUUUUUGAUAUGAGUAAUGCAUUAACCUGCUCAGCAAAAGUUCAGCUUAAACGUAUGGGCUUGGACAGCACAAGAUUUAUGACGAUGGCUGAAGAAAUUAUGCUUUUCUUCCCCCAAAGACACUUUAAUUGUGUAAUUACUGCCAGCUGCUUUUCAUUUAAGGCUGUCUUUAAUUAGGGCGAGAGGUCCGCGGUUCAAGCCCCCCCCCCUCCUCCAGGAUGAUUAGCCAAAUCCUCCGCUAAACUCAUUUGUUAUUCAGGCUUUGCGCGCAGCCUCCCGUCGGGCCGCAGACAGAACCCCGGAGCCCAAUUUCCUUCACAGCCGCCCUCCUUAUCCUCCACCUCAUCAGCAACAAUUGUCCUGAAAUAAGCAGCAGCAUAUCUGUGUUUGCUUUCCUUAUUAGGCUCCAAAUGUAGAGAAAACAUAUCAGGAGCGGGGAGCCGAGAGGGCCCUGCACCUGAUAAUCUGAAUAAAUCUGUUCCAUCACAUUUUGCCACGGCCUCCUCCAGAGGAGCAGCAGGGGGGUGAGGAGGUGGAGGGUCCAGCAGAGGCCUGGGAGAGCAGGUUUGUGCUUUUCUGCAAGGUAAUUGGUGAAUUCUUAUUCAAGAUGUUCCAAACGAAGCAUCUGACUGUGAGGACUUUAAUUUCUGUCUACAGCAACCAAACCUGGAGGAGGACAAAGAAAAAGAGGGUCUGCAGAGGGGGCAUCAGACCACAAACAUCUGUGCUGGGUUUGGGAGGAAAACUCAAAUGUUUAAAGAAUGUAAAAAAAUUAAAAUAGAUAAAUAGAAACGUAUUUUUUUCUGUUAAAACAGAUGAAGGAAUAGAGGAUGGUCAUAAUAAUGAUAAUUAUAAUAAUAAUAAUAAUAAUCAUUAUUAUUAUUAUUAUU